ACGCUUACCUGCAGAGGAGAUACUAUGAUCACAAAGGUGUUUUCCCAGGGUGAAGCUUAUCCAUUGCACUCUGGAUUUGCUGCCCCCUUCAAUUUCCCCAAGGAAGGGAAGCUUGACUGCAUAAUUUCUUUCAGAAGGGUACUGUGUUCUAUACUCCCCAG
rnacentral:snRNA from 1 species